CCUACGGGUGGCAGCAGUGAGGAAUAUUGGUCAAUGGACGAGAGUCUGAACCAGCCAAGUAGCGUGAAGGAUGACUGCCCUAUGGGUUGUAAACUUCUUUUAUAUGGGAAUAAAAUGUUCCACGUGUGGGAUUUUGUAUGUACCAUAUGAAUAAGGAUCGGCUAACUCCGUGCCAGCAGCCGCGGUAAUACGGAGGAUCCGAGCGUUAUCCGGAUUUAUUGGGUUUAAAGGGAGCGUAGGUGGAUUGUUAAGUCAGUUGUGAAAGUUUGCGGCUCAACCGUAAAAUUGCAGUUGAAACUGGCAGUCUUGAGUACAGUAGAGGUGGGCGGAAUUCGUGGUGUAGCGGUGAAAUGCUUAGAUAUCACGAAGAACUCCGAUUGCGAAGGCAGUUCACUGGACUGCAACUGACACUGAGGCUCGAAAGUGUGGGUAUCAAACAGGAUUAGAUACUCGAGUAGUC
rnacentral:rRNA from 1 species